rnacentral:lncRNA from 1 species
AAAUGUGGCAAAAAGGGAGCCAAGAAAGUGAUCAAUUUUCUAACAAAGAUUGGUAUGACGUAAAAACACAAGCUAUGUUCAGUGUAACUAAUAUUGGGAAAACACUAGUCAUAAAAACUCAAGGAUACGGAAUCACAUCUUAUGGUCUCAAGUAUGAUUGCACCUGAUGGCCUCAAGUGAUGUGUUUUGCAAGUGAGAUUUGCUGAUCCAAGGAUGAUUAAGUUGCUUUUAUAAAAUUCAAAUUACUUAAUGAGGAUGUUCCGAAAAAAACCGCCUGAUCAUCUUCUAUGACACAGAUCUUACCCAUGAGAAGUGACCUCCAUUAUCAAUUUUUAAAAAAUGACAGACCAUUUUGAAGCUGAUGUUGAUGUUAAGACUACCAAUGAUUAUUUGCUUCAUCUCUUCAGUGCUGGUUUUACUAAGAAUUGCAACAAUCAAAUUUGAAAGUCCUCUUAUGCUCAGCACACACAGAUUCAUCAAAUCCGGAAGAAGAAGAUGGAAAUCAUGAUCCAAGAGGAGCAGGCAAGUGCCUUGAAAAAAGUGGUUAAUAAAUUAAUUGCAGAAAGCAGUGGAAAAUACCUAGAAAAGUUUGCAAUCCAUUUAUUCUCUCCAUGAUGUCUCCUAUAAAAUAGAAAACAUGUUGAGGAAGCCGAAGUUCAAGAAUUGGGAAAACUCUUGAAGCUUUAUAGAAAAGCAGUAAUUUUGAAAUGCUACUGAGAAUGAGACAGGGGCUAAAGUUGAAUGACUUGAUGGAUUUGAGUCAGCGGUCCAAGAGUCUGCUUAA